GAUGAACGCUGGCGGCGUGCCUAAUACAUGCAAGUCGAGCGAACAGACGAGGAGCUUGCUCCUCUGACGUUAGCGGCGGACGGGUGAGUAACACGUGGAUAACCUACCUAUAAGACUGGGAUAACUUCGGGAAACCGGAGCUAAUACCGGAUAAUAUAUUGAACCGCAUGGUUCAAUAGUGAAAGACGGUUUUGCUGUCACUUAUAGAUGGAUCCGCGCCGCAUUAGCUAGUUGGUAAGGUAACGGCUUACCAAGGCAACGAUGCGUAGCCGACCUGAGAGGGUGAUCGGCCACACUGGAACUGAGACACGGUCCAGACUCCUACGGGGGGCAGCAGUAGGGAAUCUUCCGCAAUGGGCGAAAGCCUGACGGAGCAACGCCGCGUGAGUGAUGAAGGGCUUCGGAUCGUAAAACUCUGUUAUUAGGGAAGAACAAAUGUGUAAGUAACUAUGCACGUCUUGACGGUACCUAAUCAGAAAGCCACGGCUAACUACGUG
rnacentral:rRNA from 1 species